UGGGGAAUCUUGCGCAAUGGCCGAAAGGCUGACGCAGCGACGCCGCGUGUGGGAUGACGCCUUUCGGGGUGUAAACCACUGUUGCCCGGGACGUACGACCCUAUUCGUGGGGUGUGACGGUACCGGGUGAGGAAGCACCGGCUAACUCUGUGCCAGCAGCCGCGGUAAUACAGAGGGUGCGAGCGUUAAUCGGAAUCACUGGGCUUAAAGCGUUCGUAGGCGGAUCUGUAGGCGCGUUGUGAAAGCCCUCGGCUCAACCGGGGAACUGCUUCGCGAACCACAGAUCUUGAGUCAAGUAGGGGCGAUCGGAACGAUAGGUGGAGCGGUGAAAUGCGUAGAUAUCUAUCGGAACGCCGAAGGUGAAGACAGGUCGCUGGGCUUGUACUGACGCUGAGGAACGAAAGCGUGGGGAGCAAA
rnacentral:rRNA from 1 species